rnacentral:lncRNA from 1 species
AGAAGAUUGAGACACAGAGCCUAGCGCACUAUUGUCAUUUAUAUAUGUGAUUUUAUUAUGAUUGUUACUUUGAAUAUUAUGACUUGUGAGUACAAACAGGACCCUUUAAAUUAAACAUUAGUCUCUGACCCAGAGAUUCCACUUUUAGGAAUUCUGCCAAAGGAAAUAAUUAAAAACCCCCACAAUGAUCCAACUGCCAGAACACUGCAGAAUUCCAGAAUCAUAAUUUCAACAUUGGCUGUGUGCAUUGAGUCUCAGAGCCACUGCCAGAAGGUACAAAAAGAUUCCACAAUGACUCCAAACCUGACUACUUUCUCUGAUUCUAAGGGAAAAGAAGAAUUUAAAAAUCUGAGUCAAGGGGCCAACUUCUUCGCCUGGAAGACUGAGAAAUCCUGGCCAAGGGUCAAGGAAGCAGCAAGAAGAAAACUCCAGGCCAGGGUUCUCUGCAUAAUGCAGCUGGGAAUAUUAAGACAGAG